UCUGACUCUUCCACAGUCCCUCAUUUGUACGCGCGGUCGCGUAAUUUGAGCAGCGCUGAUUUGAGGGACUGUGAAAUCGUGACUCGAAAACUUGCAAAAACACUCGAAAACUUGCAAAUGUGCUCGAAAACCUAAAAAUUCGUCGAAUAUGGAAGAAAUCGUGGAUGUUUUGGACGAUAGCGGUGCUUUGCUGUACAUGGGAAGUGUUUUGUCUGAAUCGUGCGAGGAAUUAGAGAUAUUAAUGGAAUAUUUAUCUCUUGAAGACGAUGAUGGUGAGUGUUGACAUUUUAUAGCAAUAUGCCUUUGACCCUUCGACUGUAAAAAUAUAUUAUAUAGGCGAGAUUUUGAUUAGGUUUUCGUGUUUUAUACUGUUUCAUAAAAGUGAUUGUACCUUUACAAGUUACAACUUCGUAAAAGCUGGGUAAAUGCUCUAUAAUACGGAUUAUUUUUAUUUAAUUCUGCAGAAUAAUUUCCACGCGCUAUUUUAUAUAAAUAUAUACGCCAAUUAACAUGUCAACAAAUAUAAAGUCAACAAGAAGUCCUGCUCAGGGGAAACAUGAACUGAACCGCCCUCGUCUAACCGUUUUGCCAAAAACGAACAUAUUUUAUGUUGGUCUUAAGAGUUAAGUUACUCGUUGUUUUUGCCAAAUGUGUAAGACUUUUCACUUUUGCUUAAAAUAGCAAUAUGUGAAAAUGCUGAAUAAUAAUUUUUUUAAUGAAAAUUAUUUAGCCAAUGGGGAUCUCAGGUUCUAGCUCCUUGGUUAGUCGUCGGCAUUUGAGGUUUAGGAGUUCUGAACAGGCCUCCAUGUUAUGGAUUUAUUUUAACCUCAGUGUUUUACCUAGACACCCCCCCCCCCCUCAGGUUCAGCAUUACCACGUCAUCACCAGUAAAUAGGGCUGGGCAAUAUUUUGAUAUUAUCAAUGAUACACGAUGAUUGUACAUACUCAAGAUCAUCAUAUUGAAAGUAAACGCUGAGCCGUGAUGGAGUUAUCGUAAGGGCCGAACUAACAAAGCUUAAUAAUAUAAAAUCUUAAAAAAACAAUGUUAAUUAAUCCAUCCCUUUAUUAUUUUGUUUGAUAAUUGCCAAGGAUUUCACACAGAAUCCCCUCCCCCAAUACCCCCAAGUGAAUCCAUCCCACUACUACACAAAAUAAUACUUCUUUCCCUCCGAGUCAGAGACGGAUUUUCAUAUUUUCGUUCAGGGGGUGGAUAAUAUCUGGGGAGGGUGCUGCUGCUUGCUUUGUCCAGGGCAUGGUGGCAACACCCAGAAAGGCCAAGGAAAAAGUUUAACAAAAUUUUUUCUAGGCCUGCAUGGCGAGAUCUGAGACCAUAAUAUUGGUAAUUUUACAAAUUUAGUAGUAAGAAUAAUCAAAUAUGAAACUAUCAAAUCGAAAUAUAUGUAAUUUGCAGGGGUGCCAAAUGCCUUUGGGAGGUGCAAAUCAUUUCUGGGAGGGUGUGCACCCCCCCCCCCCACACACACACACAGAAAAUCUGUGCCAAUUAACAAUGAAAGCAUUUUUUUACAGAUCUCUGCAAUAUUAUGUUUACAAGUUCCUUGAAGAUAUGAUUAUAAUAAAUGGUGACAUAUGUCUGUACAUUGUAGAGCAUUUUGUACAUAUUUUGUACUUAUAUUACUGAGGCCAAAUAAACAUAAUAGUUGGUUUCAGGUUUCACAGCCAUGUUUUAUAUGGGUAGGUAGGUUGGAAAAGCAUUUUAUUUAAAAACACAUAAUCAGACGUGCCACACGGGAUCAACCGGGAGCUACACAUGUUUUGCGAGAAACAAAUGCGUCAAGGAUUAACAUGACUAGAUAAUGAUUAAAUUAUGAGCAAACAAAAUACUUUGUAGCAAAUGACUCUGAUGACUAUUUAUAUAUUCUGAUAUUUACGAAAAGAUGAUCCCUACUUGGGAAAUGUCAAUAAUAUGUUUAUGGCCGGUCAUAUUUUUGACACGUCGGUCAGAAACCUGAAGCCAACUAUUAUUUUUAUUUGGCCUGAGUACUUUUUAUAAUAUUCAGACAAUAGAUAAAUUUGUAUCAUAAUUAAAUUUGUAUCAAAAUCUGUAAUUUAAUAAAUAUUCAUUCCAUCUUGUUUCAUUUCUUGUUUUCUUUAGUAGCCUACAAGAAAAGAUCUUCUUAGAAAAUCUGAUAUUUUUGAAAACUUAUUACAUGUAUAUACACAAGGCUGUCGGAAGUAAAUCAAUAUUGGGAUGGGGUCUCAAGAAUAAAUUUGAAUUGCUUUUGCACUUUUCAGUGUGUUUGCUCAUACAAAUGGAAGAUGGGGGGGGGCUUAUGCUGCCCCCCCCACUUCUGAGUUCUGACAACCUUGAUACAUGAUCUAACUGGCACCUGGCUAGGCCCCACACACCUAUGUUUUUUUCCCCAAUGAAAUUAUUAAUAAGAACAGUAUGCUAAAAGAGGUUCAAACAUGGGGGAUGUUUCUGUGAAAGCUGGCUUUGCCUGAUAAGAGGGAUAUCCCCAUGUAUAGCAAGCCUUUUUUAAGGUACUAUCACUGUUUGAAUCACUCAAACCUGAUGCUGAUACAGCUGAUUGCUAAGUAAGUGCACAAGGGUUUGUUUUGAAAAUUGCAUUAAUAAAACCAAGUCAGUAUGGUGUUAAGCCUCAAAAACUGAAAACAAUAGACUUGGCAUAGACCCUUCCUGCAAGGGGUGC